UGGUGCUAGCAGCCACAGUAAUUAUAGCUCUAAUAGCAUAUAUUUAAGUUGUUGCAGUUAAAAAGCUCAUAGUUGGAAAUAGGGUUGGAUCAUCCAAUCUACCUCAUAAUUAGCACCGAUCUACUCGUCCCUACUACUGACGAUGUACUUUUCACCUUAAUUGACUAUGUUGUUCCUACAGUACUAUUACUUUGAAGAAAUUAAAGUGCUUAAAGCAACUUGCAAUUGUAUACAUUAGCAUGGGAUAACAUCAUAGAAUUUCGGUCCUAUUGUGUUAGCCUUUAAGAUUGGAGUAAUGAUUAAUAAGGACAGUUGGAGGCAUUUGUAUUUCAUAGUUAGAGGUGAAAUUCUUGGAUUUAUGCAAGAUAAACAACUGCAAAAGCAUUUGCCAAGGAUGUUUUCAUUAACCAAGAAUAAAAGUUGAGGGCUCAAAGAUGAUCCGAUACCAUCCUAGUCUCAACCAUAAAUGAUGCCUAUCAAGGAUUAACAAAUGUUACUUUUAGGACUCUAUCAGCAUUUUAUGAGAAAUCAAAGUUUUUGGGUUCUAGGGGGAGAAUGGUCACAAGGUCGAAACUUAAAAGAAUUGAUGGAAAGGCACCACUAGGAGUGGAGCUUGUAGCUUAAUUUGACUCAACAUGGGAAAAUUUACUAGGUCCAAACAUAGUAAGGAUUGACAAACUAAAAGCUCUUUCUUGAUUUUAUGGGUGGUGGUGCAUGGCUGUUCUUAGUUGGUGGAGCAAUUUGUCUGGUUAAUUCUAUUUAUGAAAAAGACCUCAGCCUAUUAACUAGCUAUGCGGAGGUGAUCCUUCAUGGCUAGCUUCUUAGAUGGACUAUGGCUGCUUAGGCCAAGGAAGUUUAGGGGAAUAAUACGUCUAUGAUGCCCUUCAAUGUUCUAGGCUGCACGUGCGCUACACUAAUGUAUUCAAUGAGUCUAUAGCCUUGGCUGACAAGCUUGGGUAAUCUUUGAAAUUUCAUUAUGAUUGGGAUAGAUCAUUGCAAUUGUUGGUCUUCAAUAAGGAAUUCUUAGUAAGUGCAAGUCAUUAGCUUGUGAACUAUGUCCUUACCCUUUGUACACACCACCCAUCGUUCCUACUAAUUGAAUGGUCCAAUAAAGUGUUUAGAUCACAGUGAUGUGAAUGGUUUAUUACCUGUAAUGUCACGAGAAGUUCACUGAACCUUAUCAUUUAAAGGAAACACAAGUCAUAACAAGGUUUCCAUAGGUGAACCUGUAGAAG
rnacentral:rRNA from 1 species